rnacentral:rRNA from 1 species
GGGACACGUGGUAUCCUGUCUGAAUAUGGGGGGACCAUCCUCCAAGGCUAAAUACUCCUGACUGACCGAUAGUGAACCAGUACCGUGAGGGAAAGGCGAAAAGAACCCCGGCGAGGGGAGUGAAAAAGAACCUGAAACCGUGUACGUACAAGCAGUGGGAGCACCUUCGGGUGUGACUGCGUACCUUUUGUAUAAUGGGUCAGCGACUUAUAUUCUGUAGCAAGGUUAACCGUAUAGGGGAGCCGCAGGGAAACCGAGUCUUAACUGGGCGUUAAGUUGCAGGGUAUAGACCCGAAACCCGGUGAUCUAGCCAUGGGCAGGUUGAAGGUUGGGUAACACUAACUGGAGGACCGAACCGACUAAUGUUGAAAAAUUAGCGGAUGACUUGUGGCUGGGGGUGAAAGGCCAAUCAAACCGGGAGAUAGCUGGUUCUCCCCGAAAGCUAU